AAAAGUGACCACAGUGACCACAUAUUUUCUUCAAUAGGAGUCAAAAUAGAAAUUUGGUGCUCUCGGACCACUUUUUCAGAGAGACUUCUCUCUGUGAGGGAGUUGUGUCUGUGGUAGAUGUGCAGGUCAGCGUGAAAGAACCCUGGAAGUUGGGCACUGGAAGGACUGCAGGUAUGUACGGUGGAGGGAAGAGAUGGAAAACUGGAGGUUUAGCUCUGGCUUAUGGAUUGAGCACACACCUGGGACACACAGGAAUUCAGGGUGAAAGUCCCUUACUGAGGCGGGAAAGAAAACAAGAACUUCUCACAUCAUCGUGGGCACUGGAGGAAACAGUGCAGUGACACCCAAAGAGUCCAGGCACCUCUGUACGUUAUGUCUAACGCCCAUUUUACAGAACCUUUAACUGGAGCCCUGCCUGAACACCUGCAAAGGUUUUCUGAAAUGACUUAUUAGAAUGUGAAACUGUGUAUGAGGAAAGAAACAAAACAAUUGAGAAAGGAAAAGAAGAGAGAAAUGUAGUCAAGCUGACAAGAAAGAAACAAGUUCUUUGGAAUGUUACUUCAGGAACUCUAAAGUUUGUUGCCAUUGAAAUCCAAAAAUUACCUUCCUAUGCAGUAUGAUACUCAAUAAUUUAUCCUGAAAACGCUACUAAUUAAUUUCCUCGGAAGGGAAACCCUGGACUAAGAAAUGCUGCACCAUAUUCCAGCAGGUCUGCUCAUGGCAGACUGAACUUGAAUCGAAGUUCUGGCUGGAUGUUAUGAGGAAGGCUAAACAAAGAUUUUUAUGUCUGGUGUCAAUGAAAAUCAGCUGUGAGUAUCAUAGCAUUUUCCUCAUGCAUGUUUUUUAUCUUUUUCUGGUAAACUGUUUAGUUAAAUAACUUCUUUAAGAGUUUCAUUUCUGAAUUUGAAAUAUCAGGGAAAUCUUUUCCCGUUCUUCUUCACCAGCACUUUUCCUUCUUUAAUUUUAAACUUCCACUGAGUGGCAUAGUUUCUCCCACAUAAAAUUCAGUACAUGUGACUGCAGCAAACUUGGAGCUUUGAGCUUUUCUGCCUCUUGCACAAUUAUGGUUACUGCACUGAUGGCAUGGACCAUAAGAGAAUGCUAUGAUCCUUCUGUCUCUGGCGAUCUGCAGAUGGUCUGUGCCUCGAGUUUUUCAAGACUGUGCUGAGAAGAAUUACUAGGUAGAUUUCUUUUGUUUUCUCCUUUUAUAUCCCAGACGUCUGGGUAAACUGGCACAACUCAACAUGAAUUUAUCUGUGUAAGACAGCUUGUAUUUAUGAAGCUUUCUCUGGAGAUGACAGUAUUAGUGAAAAUGGAAACAAAGAAAUCUUGGGGCAAAAAAUGUAAGAAUUGUUCUGCACCAGGACUAAACAAUAGACACUUGAAUCUUUCUAAUAGAAUCACGGAUCACAGCUGGUCGCAGAAAGCAAUAAAAGAACCUUGCAGCCAUGCUGAAAGAAUUCUAGAGUCUCAAAUGUGAAGUAAAGACUUUAAUAAUCACACAAAAAAAAAAAAAAUUGAAAUUGAACUAAGGGAGUAGGAAGGGUCCUCUGCCUUGAAUUUUCUGUAGAACUUGAAACUAGACUCUGCAAAUGUAUCUUGUCUCUUCAGCAACUAGAGCGAGCAAUAUUCUAUGUCUAAAUCUGGCUUUUUUGAAUAUUCUUAACCUGAAUCUUCUUGACAUGAAGUUCCUACUGAGGCACAAAAAAUGUUGAGAGGGAAAUGAAAUUUUUAAGUCCCCUGUUGGCAUCUUCCAGUGCAGGACGCUGUCACAGGACACGUACAGUCCCAGCCGCCUUCAACAGCCACCAAUUGUCUUAAAGUUGUUUGAGCAUCAAAUGUCCCUCUAAAUUCAUCUGUGAAAACUGGUGAAGUGACACCUGACAUUGUGCACAACUAGGAAUAAGAUAUUUACCGGUUUUCUUCCAUGUCUUUGGGUGUCUCACUUGCCAAACUGUUAUGACACACAAAAAGGCAAUUCCUGGCAUUUUGAUUUGAAGUGGCAUCCAUCGUCUCAUUUCUAAUUAUUUAUGAUACUUUCUUUCUCCAUACUUUCUUGAUAGUAGUGGCAAGCUCUGUCCCCACUCCCCCUCUUUCCUCCUGUGUUUCUGUGGUUUUCCAAACCUGUUGGAAGGGAAAUAGUCUAGUUCUCCAAAACAAAAAAUGUAAAUAUUCAGACAAUAUAAAAUGAACAAAUGAACAGACAAACAAAAUCCUCUUGUGAAUUUUCUUUAUUACAUAUAGCACCAUUCAAACUGAAAAUCAGGACAAACUGAGUUUUAAUUUGAUAUACACUUCCCAACUGGUACAACCUUUAGAUCGUAGCUGUUUAUGGCUCAAGGUGGUAUUUCAGAUGAGAUGGAUAGAGAG